AUUGAACGCUGGCGGCAGGCUUAACACAUGCAAGUCGAGCGGAGAUGAGGUGCUUGCACCUUAUCUUAGCGGCGGACGGGUGAGUAAUGCUUAGGAAUCUGCCUAUUAGUGGGGGACAACAUUCCGAAAGGAAUGCUAAUACCGCAUACGUCCUACGGGAGAAAGCAGGGGAUCUUCGGACCUUGCGCUAAUAGAUGAGCCUAAGUCGGAUUAGCUAGUUGGUGGGGUAAAGGCUUACCAAGGCGACGAUCUGUAGCGGGUCUGAGAGGAUGAUCCGCCACACUGGGACUGGGACACGGCCCAGACUCCUACGGGAGGCAGCAGUGGGGAAUAUUGGACAAUGGGGGAAACCCUGAUCCAGCCAUGCCGCGUGUGUGAAGAAGGCCUUAUGGUUGUAAAGCACUUUAAGCGAGGAGGAGGCUACUGAGACUAAUACUCUUGGAUAGUGGACGUUACUCGCAGAAUAAGCACCGGCUAACUCUGUGCCAGCCGCCGCCGUAA
rnacentral:rRNA from 1 species